GGGUACUAUAAAACUGAUUGAUCAUACAUAACAGAAUAUCAGAAAUAAAAUCAGGCUUAAAAGUUCUAGUAUAAAUACUGUAAGCGACUUAUAUUAAUUACUGGAUAUCUAAAUAAUAUGGCUGAUAAGGAUCAACCAGGAGCUAAUGAGAAGGAUGGACCUUGUUGUACCAUCCAAAGAGCUGCUCUAUAUGUAUGGUUGGAACCAAUUAACAGGAUUUGUCCGAACGUUGAAAACAAGUCACAGGAACACCAUUCAAGCGUCGUUGAGGACAUCGGCUCUUUCUCACCAAACCAACUGUUAUAAUAGCUACGUGAGCUACCCAAACAUAAAAAAAACUGUACUAUAUUAACAAGAGACACACUUUGUGUAUACUCGGAACCAAGUAACAGGCUUCGAACCUCCGAUGGAACCCCGUAGGCGCGGCCUAAUUUAAGUGCACGUGAAGUGUUUUUAAGGUUUCGGCUAUCCUGCAUGAAACUAUUUUAUGCUAUUACAAUUCAAAUCUCAAAUAUAAAGCUUCUAAACCUUGAUUCAGAUAUACCUGGAUGGCGUCUGUCGGAGAGUAGUUUAUUACCUAACAUUGUUAUAUUGUUACAUGUUAAUAUUACCUGAUAUAUAUGAGCGGACAUUGAAAUUGUAUUACAAUUUGAAAUAGAUAAUAUUACAAAUAAAUUAUAUACUAUCUUAAAAUCUAUACGCCAUGUGUAUGCUCAGAGCCAUUGAACAGGAUUUGUUUACCCAUUGGAAGCAAGUCACAAAACACACCUAUUAGGUGUCGCCGAGGAAAACGGCUUUCCCUCACUAAACCUACUCUCAUAAUAGCUACACAAACAUUUAGAAAAAAAUAAUAGUGCGUUGUACAUUGUCUCUAGGAUGCAUUUGUAGUUUAUGUUUAGUAUUAGCAAUUUCAUUGUAUAUACUCAACUAAGACCUAAAUAACGGCCAAAAUAUUUUUUUUUACUAAUAAUAUAUAUUUGUGUUUCACAUAGACUUUAAAAGAAGUAAGAUUUAGGGGUGAUGUUUUAUCGUACCAAAUACUCAGUACGUCCCCAAAUAAUAGCGAAUAAAAAUUUGCAAGUGAUUCUGGUGGGAAUCGAACCCACGACUUCCAGGUAUCAAGUCUGAUUUCUUAACCUCUAGACCACAGAGACUGUGAUUGGUGACAAGCAGUGAAUCCGAUCCCCUAGUAGCAGCGGGUACUGCAAGUGUUAUAAGGAUUUGACUUUGCGUCAGGAAAUAAUACCAUAGGAGUGAUGCUUUGCAAGACACUGUAUUUAUAUAUUUAGACAGUAACAUACUACAAAUUUUACAUAUGCCUUUAUUUUAGUUUGAACAUUUUUAAUGCAGACUUGUUUCUAUAUUACUACAUGUGGGAUAAAUUAAGUUGUGUUCUUCCUUUUGUCAUAUGUAUUAUGAUUUUCAGGAUUAAAUAAAUCGUUUUGUGAUUGCGUAUUGUAUAUGCCUAUAUAUAUUUGGCUACUGUAAACUUAUUUUGCAACGUAGCUAAAUUGUAUUGGCUAAGUUGAAGCAACUCCUAAUUAUUAGUAUAAAAUCAUGAUAGCAAAUUAAGAACAUAAGAAUAAAUGUUUUAUUUAAAAUUGUAUUUAAAGUUUA
rnacentral:lncRNA from 1 species